rnacentral:rRNA from 1 species
AGUCAUAUGCUUGUCAUAAAGAUUAAGCCAUGCAGGUGUAAGUACAAGUUAUUAUUAACGAAACUGCGAACGGCUCAUUACAACAGUUAUAAUCUACUUGAUCGUAAACUCCUAUUUGGAUAACCGUGGGAAUCUAGGGCUAAUACAUGGUAAAAUCCCUGACUGUGCUUGCACUGGAAAGGGUGAACUUGUUAGAUUAAAACCAAUGAGGCUUCGGCCUCUUCCUAGACGAUUCAUAACAAGUCAUUGUCGAAUCGUAGUCUUGUACUACGAUGUACCAUACGAAUUUCUGCCCUAUCAACUAUUGUAGGUUGGAUAGAGGCCAACCUAGGUCGUAACG